UACAGAGGUCCCAAGCGUUACUGAGAAUCACCGGGCUUAAAGGGUGCGUAGGCGGUUCGUUAAGUCAGUUGUGAAAUCCCCGGGCUCAACCCGGGAACUGCUUCUGAUACUGGCGGACUUGAGGCCAGUAGAGGUCACUGGAACUGACGGUGGAGCGGUGAAAUGCGUAGAUAUCGUCAGGAACGCCAGUGGUGAAGACGGGUGACUGGGCUGGUUCUGGCACUGAGGCACGAAAGCGUGGGGAGCGAACGGG
rnacentral:rRNA from 1 species